CGUUUAGUGGAACGAGCGGCGGACGGGUGAGUAACACGUGGGCAACCUACCUAUAAGACUGGGAUAACUCGUGGAAACGCGAGCUAAUACCGGAUAAUACAACCGACCUCCUGGCAGGUUGUUGAAAGGUGGCUCUUUUAGAGCUAUCACUUACAGAUGGGCCCGCGGCGCAUUAGCUAGUUGGUGAGGUAACGGCUCACCAAGGCAACGAUGCGUAGCCGACCUGAGAGGGUGAUCGGCCACACUGGGACUGAGACACGGCCCAGACUCCUACGGGAGGCAGCAGUAGGGAAUCUUCCGCAAUGGACGAAAGUCUGACGGAGCAACGCCGCGUGAACGAAGAAGGUUUUCGGAUCGUAAAGUUCUGUUGUUAGGGAAGAACAAGUACCGUUCGAAUAGGGCGGUACCUUGACGGUACCUAACGAGGAAGCCCCGGCUAACUACGUGCCAGCAGCCGCGGUAAUACGUAGGGGGCAAGCGUUGUCCGGAAUUAUUGGGCGUAAAGCGCGCGCAGGCGGUUUUUUAAGUCUGAUGUGAAAUCUUGUGGCUCAACCACAAGC
rnacentral:rRNA from 1 species